AGCGGACACAUACAGACGUCUGCAGCGCAGGCAACCCAGCUAUGCUUCUUUGGAAAUCCCAGCAGCUCCCUCUUUCUGACACUCUCCGGGGUGUUGUUGGGUCAAAGACGUGACAACAGUCUUCUGCCUCCACGGUAAAUCCUCCAGACAAAGCCCUGGACCUAUCAGGUGACCCGGGAACUCUUUUCAUGGAGAUUUCCUCCUCCUCCUACAGUCAAAGCAAAGAGUAACAGGAUCUUGGGAAGGAUGAGACAUCUGAAAGAAUCUAGACUGUACUCUUUGAUGUGUUGUGUCCUCCGGGAACCAUUUUCCUCUGUGCUUAACACCUGUAGAUGUACUUACUGUAAAAAGGGAUCCUGUAUGUAGUUUUGUUAAGAACAAAACCGUUUAGAACUUGUACUGAACAGAAAAAGAGGCAUUGGGCCGGUUUCCCGGACCCAGAUAAAGCCUAUUCCUUGACCAGAAAACAUUUCAAUGGAGAUUCUCACAAACUGUACACUUUACUUUCCUUUACAUUCUCUUUCUCAUUCCCUUUCCUAUUUCCAGUUCAACCCCUUUGUCAUGGGAAGUACCUAGAUUCCUUCAUUUGAAAUAACACCCACAUGGGUUCAUGUCUAUGUUGAAAGUGAGUCAUCCUAUAGUGAGUGAAAGAUUGCAACAUCCAGUCUUGCACGUACAGUAUGAUGACUCAAUAAGAUACGACCUCAUGAACUGUCAUACAUCACCAAACACGCCACCUUGGGUUUCUUCACUGUACCCAGACCAAAAACUGAUUGAAUGUGUUGCUCAGUUAUGUAUAGAGCCAUGUCAUCAUGGAAUGCUCUGCCACCAGAGGUUAAUCAGGCAAAAACCAAGUUUAGCUUUAAAAAACUGGAUUUAAAAAAAACAUUGCUUUUCUUAAACAUGGCUUUCGGACAAGAUACCCCCCAUGGCUAUCCAACUCAAUGGAUUCCCCUUUCAGUGAGUGGACAGGUCAGUGGAGUUAGGGAAAUGAAGAGCGGUCUGCUUCUUCAUCAACAACAAAUGGUGUGCUGACUGGAACUCUCGACCCAUUGUUCACCCGUCUUGGAAUACCUGAUGGUCCAAUACCGAAUCUACCUCUCGAGGGAGUUUUCAGCUGUUAUCGUGACUGUUGUAUACAUUUCACCUCAGGACAAGAAAAAUAACAAUCUGGAACUUAACGAACUGUAAGAGACUAUAAACAAGCAGGAAAACUUGCGACGCGGAGGCUGCUUUUCUUGUUGCCGUCGAUUUUUAAUUAUUCGUCAUUAAGACCCAUGAUGCCCUAUUUUCAUCAACAUGUCUCCUUCGCCCUCAGGGGCGAUAAAGACCACUGUUACUCUACCACAAGCAAGCACACAAGGCCCUCCCUCGUCCCCCAUUUUGGUAAAUUAGAUUAUGACUCCGUACUCUUGCUUCCUGUUUACAAGCAGAAGUUCAAAACAGGAAGUACCCGUGACUCGCUCCUUUGAGAAAUGGUCAUCAGAAUCAGAGAUUGUGCUACAGGACUGCUUUGCUAGAGUUUAUUAAAAACUGUUACUCUACCCACAAGCAAGCAUACAAGGUCCCCCCCCCCCCCCCCCUUUCAGCAAAUGAUAUCAUGACUCCGUACUCCUGCUUCCUGUGUACAAGCAGAAGCUCAAACAGGAAGUACCCAUGACUCGCUCUGUUGAGAAAUGGUCAUCAGAAUCAGAGAUUAUGCUACAGGACAUCUUUGCUAGGGCUGACUGGAAUAUGUUCAGAGUCUCUGCUGAUAAAAUCAACAAGCUUACGACCUUCGUCACCGGCUUCAUUAGGAAAUGCAUCAGCGUGAAGGUUCGCUGCUUUCCCAAUCAAAAGCCAUGGCUUAAGACCGAGGCUGGCAUUAAACUAAAGGACAUGGCUACCGCACCCAGGGCUAUCUCAGACAACACUGAGGCUACGGCUGAGGACAGGGGCCAAAGGAAGACCCAGCCUUGAUCUGCCCAAUGAUACCUGUCUACCAGUUGAAGUCAAUACAUUUUUAUGCACACUUCGACAAUAACAACACCGUGCCGUGCGUGAGGGACCCUACUGACCCAGAGGACAGGGUGAUCUCGCUCUCCAAGGCCUCCAAGGCCUCUCCAAGGUGGCGACACGCAUCUCUGCGUGCCUGGCAGAUACCUCAGCUUUGAUAUCGGCCCACCACUUAAAGCUCAACAUCGACAAGAUGGAGCUGCUCUUCCUCUUGGGGAAGGCCUGCCCGCUCCAAGAUCUCUUCAUCACAGUCGACAGCUCCAGUGUCAACCACCCAGAGUGCAAAGAACCUUGGUGUGACUAGGAUCUGCAAACAUCAAAACAGUGACUCGCUCCUGCAGGUUCAUCCGCAGAGGACGACCUUUCCUCACACAGAAGCAGCGCGGGUCCGAAUCCAGGCACUCGUCAUAUCAGGUCUUGCAACUUACCCAGAAUGCCGCAGCCCGCCUGGUGUUCAACCUUCCCGAGUUCUCCCAUGUCACUCCACUCUCCACUGGCUUCCAGUCGAAGCUUGCAUCCACUACAAUACCAUGGUGCUUGCCUAUGGAGCAGCAAGGAGAACUGCCCCUCCUGAACUUCAGGUUGUGCUCAAACCCUACAUCCCAACCUGAACACUCAGUUCUGCCACCUCUGGUCUCCCUGCAGGAGGUCAGCUCCCGCUCAGCCCAGUCAAAGCUCUUCUCUGUCCUGGCACCCUAAUGGUGUAACCAGCUUCCCCCUGAUGCUACGACAGUAGAGUCCCCAUCCAUCAUCCAAAAAACGUCUGAAAUCCUACCUCGUCAAAGAGUACCUUAAAUAAGACAUCUCAGUCUUAUCCCCCCCUCUCCUCCCCCAAAA